CAUUGUUAUCUUACCUUUAAUAUUGUUCUUAUUCAAUUCUACCAUCUUUCCUAUUUACACUUAUCUAUCUAUCUUGGUUAAGUUAGAGCGUAGUUGGUUCUCCCAUUUCCCUAUGGAUACGAUAAAACCUUUAACCGGGUAAAAGCUUUAAUGGUAUCCGUGCGCUUGCGGAUUAUCUGUGUGCGUAUAAAUACCAUAGUACACUCUAGUGCCAUGCUGGGGAUGACAACCUAGUAUUCAAGUGGUGUUAGCAAGUGUCAACAAGCAUUUUUGGCGCCGUUGCCGGGGAAACGGUUGCUGAGUUGACUACGAACUAGCUUAAUCAUUUUCUAAAAAAUAAAAAAAU
rnacentral:lncRNA from 1 species